rnacentral:sRNA from 1 species
GUCAGAUGUGGUGGCAUACACUUGUAAUCCCAGCUACUCAGGAGGCUGGGGCAGGAGGAUCAGUUGAGUCCAAGGAUUUGAGGUUAGCCUGGGCAAUAUAGUGAGAGCCCAUCUCAA